GUCGAAUUCAGUUUUGUUCACCAGUAUAAAAAUUAUAACCAUUUAGAUAUUCGAAAAUACACAACAGUCGUGUUUGAGCAUUAAUUUUUCUUACUUCACUGUCACGAAUAGUAUUUCUCAGAAAUCUAAUUUGGAGUUAUUUCAACCGAAGUAUUCUUAAAAACUUCAGAUGAGUUCAUUUGCAAGCAGCAGUGAAAACAGGAGCAAAGGCGCUGCAUGGACAAGCAAGCUGUACUUCGACGAAGAUUGCGAAAAUUCAAAACCAGGGCACUUCAUUACUGCUGAGGAAUUGGUGCGACGCUUGGAUCAACUGGUGAAGAAUGAGCGGAUUUUAAAGGUAGAAAUGUGGAAGCAACCUUUGUCUGAAUUGCAAAUAACCAAAGGGGUGUUAUAUCACGCAUUCAUAAUAUUAGAGACAGAUGAAUGGUGGUGGUCAAUUGAAAAGAACUCAGAGGGGUUGACAAUGCAGAGAAGCAAA